rnacentral:lncRNA from 1 species
UCCCCUUCUCCUUCGGGAUCCCCUUCUCCCCUCCUGACGGGAAGAAGGAGACCCCGGUCAGACCAUAGCUGUCAGCCUCCCCCUUUUUGCAGGAAAUUCCCUUAUUCCAGCGCCGCUUCCCGCUGCCAUCCCGGAUUGUUAGAUCUCCCGUCGACUGUCCCCAGGACAGGGGAGGCUGCGGAUCCCUUCUUUUCGAGGCUGCGGAUCCCUUCUUUUCGAGGCUGCGGAUCCCUUCUUUUCGAGGCUGCGGAUCCCUUCUUUUCGAGGCUGCGGAUCCCUUCUUUUCGAGGCUGCGGAUCCCUUCUUUUCGAGGCUGCGGAUCCCUUCUUUUCGAGGCUGCGGAUCCCUUCUUUUCGAGGCUGCGGAUCCCUUCUUUUCGAGGCUGCGGAUCCCUUCAUUUCGAGGCUGCGGAUCCCUUCUUUUCGAGGCUGCGGAUCCCUUCUUUUCGAGGCUGCGGAUCCCUUCUUUUCGAGGCUGCGGAUCCCUUCUUUUCGAGGCUGUGGAUCCCUUCUUUUCGAGGCUGCGGAUCCCCCCUUCUUUUCCCAUCUGAAGGUGGGCAGCUCUGGUUCAGAGGGUCUUCCCCCGGCUUCUCCCUCUCCUGCCCCAGACUCAGCCCCCCAUGGGACGCCUGUCCGUGCAUCCGUCUGCCUGCCUGCCUGCCUGCCUGCCUGCCUUCCCCACAGGCCAGGGCUCAGGGAUGAGGGGAGUUGUAGUCUGGGGACCCCAGCUGGAGAAACCCCCUCGCCCCCCCUUUGCCAAGCCCUGCCUGCCCCUCCCUGCAGGAGCCCCCCCCCAAUAGGACCCCCUGCAUCCCGGGACCCCGAGGGGGAGAGGAGACUCACCGGAGGAGACAAGAGGGGGGCCGGGGAGGGGCUCCGGAAGACCCGCCUCCGUCACUUCCUGUCCUCUCUAGGAAAGGGGCUCAGCUGCUCUUAACCCUUGCCUAGCCUGGCGCGCCCAGCUGGUCUCCUUUGGGGGGAGCCGAGAAGGAGAAAGAGGAGCCCCCCUCCCCCCCCCGGGAUGGGCAGGGCAGAAGGCA